GGAGCUCAAUGGUGGCGUACAUGGUUGGAGCAUGCUGCUGAUAACGGCAAGGUUGCAGGUUCGAUCCCCGCAUGGGACG